rnacentral:rRNA from 1 species
GAUGAACGCUAGCUACAGGCUUAACACAUGCAAGUCGAGGGGAAACGGCAUUAAGUGCUUGCACUUUUUGGACGUCGACCGGCGCACGGGUGAGUAACGCGUAUCCAACCUUCCCAUGACUAAGGGAUAACCUGCCGAAUGGCAGACUAAUCCCUUAUGGUCUUCACUGACGGCAUCAGAUGUGAAGUAAAGAUUUAUCGGUUAUGGAUGGGGAUGCGUCUGAUUAGCUUGUUGGCGGGGUAACGGCCCACCAAGGCAACGAUCAGUAGGGGUUCUGAGAGGAAGGUCCCCCACAUUGGAGCUGAGACACGGACCAAACUCGGACGGGAGGCAGCAGUGAGGAAUAUUGGUCAAGGGGCGAGAGCCUGAACCAGCCAAGUAGCGUGCAGGAUGACGGCGCUAUGGGUGGUAAACUGCUUUUGUAUGAGGAUAAAGUCAAUCACGUGUGAUUGUUUGCAGGUACCAUAAGAAUAAGGACCGGCUAAUUCCGUG